rnacentral:rRNA from 1 species
GAUGAACGCUGGCGGCGUGCCUAAUACGUGCAAGUCGAGCGAACAGAUGAGGAGCUUGCUCCUCUGACGUUAGCGGCGGACGGGUGAGUAACACGUGGAUAACCUACCUAUAAGACUGGGAUAACUUCGGGAAACCGGAGCUAAUACCGGAUAAUAUAUUGAACCGCAUGGUUCAAUAGUGAAAGACGGUUUUGCUGUCACUUAUAGAUGGAUCCGCGCCGCAUUAGCUAGUUGGUAAGGUAACGGCUUACCAAGGCAACGAUGCGUAGCCGACCUGAGAGGGUGAUCGGCCACACUGGAACUGAGACACGGUCCAGACUCCUACGGGAGGCAGCAGUAGGGAAUCUUCCGCAAAGGGCGAAAGCCUGACGGAGCAACGCCGCGUGAGUGAUGAAGGUCUUCGGAUCGUAAAACUCUGUUAUUAGGGAAGAACAAAUGUGUAAGUAACUAUGCACGUCUUGACGGUACCUAAUCAGAAAGCCACGGCUAACUACGUG